GCUCGGAGCCUGGAGCUGCUUCGGGUUCUGUGUCUCUCUCUCUGCCCCUCCCCUGCUCGUGCGCGCGCUCUCUCUCUCUCUCUCUCUCUCUCUCUCAAAAAUAAACAUUAAAAAAUCGCUCCCUGUUCUUCCCCAAAAUGGAGAAGGACAACUUAAAAUGGCAACGCCCGGGGCCCCUGGGCAGUCAGAAACUCACGUGAACUUUUAUUUCGCGCUCCUCCACGCCAGUGGUGGCACCAGGAGAUUCUCAUUCUGCUGGUCUCCCUCGCAUCAGCCAAGCACCCAACAGAAGACACAGGACACAUUUAAAUUCGGGCCGCGGCUCUGGGAGACGUAACAGCCGCCUUUGAGGAGAGCAGUCUAGUCCGGGCUCCCCCCCGCCAAUGGAAAAGCACCGUACUCCGUGGCUCCACGGUGGUGCGCUUCUCGACGACAGUCAGUGAUCUGGGACCACUGGCGCCAAAGCGAGAAACGGACUGCGAGUCUGAACGAACGGUGGCGUCCAAGUCACCUCAGCACCUGGUUUCUGACAGCAAGGUUCGUACCCGACCGUGAAAGCAGAGAGCCUGGCAACCAAAGAGGGUAUCUGGGAGGAAGAAGAGAUCGUAGGGCGCCGUCUCCCCAGACAUUACCGCUCCACCAACCCCGUCUCCGUUUGUGUCCCUAGUGAUGACCGAAGGCAUCGGGGCAUUUCCCUGCCACGUCACUUCCACGCCACGCGAUCUCCACCAGGACGGGAAUCCAGCAUGUGAGCCUAUGACGGGGACGUGCUGUUUUGUACUUCCCAUCGAUGGCCCAAAGUCAAGGCGACAAAGCCAGGAGGUCAGCAGAGACGCGUGGAGGUGCCGGGCUCGAUGCUAAGACACUUCAACUCCACUUGGCCAGAGCACGGGCAUGCCUGCCAAGAGACCACCAUGCUACUGCGCCUUCAGCAAAUAUCCCCUUUGGGGGAAAACCUACAGCUACCCGUUACCUCCAGUUAGAAAAUAUGAAUCAAAAACUUACCGUUAAACUUGUCAGGGGGACUUUGGGAAUCUCCGUCCUCACCGCCGCAACAUCUUUAGGCAAUGGGAAAGUCCUCCACGUUAAACAGGGUUAAAUCGUGUCCAGACGAGGCCAUCUGCUUUGAGUGACAUCUAAAGAUUUGAGACCAUCUCAAGGGAAGAACCUCAGGGUGCGAGAUGAGGGGGGAAGCCGGAGUGGUGGUUAAGGGCACAAGCUUUUGAGCCAGACACGCUCGAGUCCAAUUCCGGCCCCGCCUCUAACUUGUGACCGCGCGACCCAUGACACGUUACCGAGCUUCUCAGAGUCUCUGCGUCCUCAGCUACGAAAUAAAAACAAUCACACCGACAUCAUGAAGCUGCUUGGACACUGAAAGGGUUACUGUGGAAACUGCUCUUAACGCAAUAUGUAAUGUUUAAGAUGCAUUCAACAAAGGGGCACCUGGGGGGCUCAGCUGGCUAAGCGUCCAACUCUUGGUUUCAGCCCUGGUCGUGAUGUCACCGUUGUGAGAUCGAGCCCCACGUCGGGGUCUGCACCGAGUACGGAGUCUGGUUGGGAUUCUCUCUCCCUGUCUCUCUGCCCCUCCGCUGCAUGUGCUCGCUCGCUCUCUCUCUCUCAAAAUAAAUAUUUUUUUUUAAAAAGAAGCAUUCGGCAAAUGGUAAAGGUCAUUAUUACACACAAGGAAACCCCGCGAUUUAAAGAGGAAGCAGGGCUUGCGACUGAAGCCAAAGGAGACCAAUACCGGGCACAUGUGGACCCGUCUGAAGUCAUCAAUUGCAAUGGCUGUCGUGUGGUGGCUUUGUGAAGGGGCAGGUCCGAAAUGAGACUAUACUGAAGGCAGGGAUGUUCUGCACUAUUUAGGUGAGUUUUAGGGUCCUAUGGUCAGGGCUUUCAGACCUUUAACAAUUAGUACAGUUUCUCAAAUUUCUCAAAAUUUACAAAAUCCAUAAAGAUGUACAGUUAAACCAAAAUACGCUGGGACCUAUCACAGAGCUGGAGAGAUCAUAGGAAAGACUUCAGAUUCUAUUUCCACAGCCUUCCAUCUAAAAUUGACUUGUCUGACAGUGCAGAGCCUGCCUGGAAUUCUCUCUCUCUCUCUCUCCCUCCCUCCCUCCCUCCCUCCCCUUCGUCGCCCACCCCCAAAAAUAAAUAAAUAAAUAAAAAUAAAAAGGGCAGCACACCGCAUAAUUCCAACUAUAUGACACUCUGGAAGAAGCAAAAUCGCAGAGACAGAAGAUGGGUGGUUGCCAAAGAGGCUGUGGGGGAGGCAGGCAGGAUGAAUAGGGGGAGUUUAGGUCAGUGAGACCAAUCUGUGUGAUACCGUCACGAGGAAUACACGUCAUCACACCCUUGUCAAAACCUUAUAACUGUAACACCAAGAGUCAACUUUAACGUAAGCUAUGGACUUUCGUCAAUUCUUAUAUCAGUUACGAUAGUCGCUUUAGUUUAGUUACUGUAUCAGGAUCAGGUCAAUGAUUGUGACAAAUGUACAAUAUCACUGCAAGGUACAUUAUGUAUUAUUAUUAAUAAUGUGUAACAUUAAUAGGAAAACUACACACAAGAUGGGGGAGCAGAGAUGUGUUGGGAACUCUCUGUACUGUCUACUCAAUUAUUUUCCGUAAAUCUAAGACUGCUCUAAAAACUAAAGCUGAUUAUUUUUUUUAAAACCUAAUGGGAGG